CAAGUGGACUUUUUUGAGUCCACUAAAUAAAUAAAAAAGAACUAAA
rfam:Ficedula albicollis isolate OC2 chromosome 5, whole genome shotgun sequence.